CGGAAGAGAUAGAAUUAAGGAAAAUUAACUAUGUAACAAAGAGUUAGGAAUCAAGUGAACGGUAACGAAACGGUGAAUGUCGAGUGAGUGGUGACGAGAUCUCGUGGACAAGGGGAGGGCCAGUGUGGUACACGAAAACCGGUUGCGUUGAGAAGGUCAGUUACUGAUCCGGUGUCAAGAAACGCGCGAAUUGAACGUUGCGUGGCGUCGAUUAUUUUGAUUAGUUUCAUUUACGAAAAGUUUCGCGUAAAGUGAAAUCUUCGAAUAUUGAUUGCACGCAUCCUCGUUCGACAACAUAUGAAUUUCGUUUGAGGCGCCAAAGGCCAAGGUUGUCGUUUCGCGUGAGCUCUCGCAGAGAGAUAGAGAAGGAGAAAGAGAAAGGAAAGAAGAGGAAAGUAUCUAGCACGUGGGCGAGCACGGAAGAGCAACCGGCCUCUGCGCGUCGUCGUUGACACAAAGAGUAGAGAGAAAGUGGGAAAGUUGCUGAAGGGAUAUUCGAUUGAUGAUAUCAUCCAGUAUUAAUUCAGAUAUCUAAGGUGUCGUUACGCUGAGAGCACCGCUGCCGGAGGGUAAUGCGCUUGGCGAGCGGAAGCGAGAAGCUCCGGGCGGCCUUUACUUUCUUCGGCCCUUGGUCCAGCCCCGCCGGCCGUUUCCACUCUUUCGCCGAAUCGUCCACUGAUCGGAACGAAAAAGAACGGAGGCAGCACGGUGCGUCCUUCUUGAUUCGAAAGGAGAAGUCGUGGAAGAACAGCGGAGCAACUGUUGCAACGAUAACAGCGGCCA